rnacentral:rRNA from 1 species
AACGAACGCUGGCGGCAUGCCUAACACAUGCAAGUCGAACGGGAUCCUAGCUUGCUAGGUGAGAGUGGCGGACGGGUGAGUAACACGUGGGAAUCUGCCUUUUGGUUCGGGAUAACCGCGGGAAACUGCGGCUAAUACCGAAUGCCCUCGAGAGAGGAAAGAUUUAUCGCCAGAAGAGGAGCCCGCGUCCGAUUAGGUAGUUGGUGGGGUAAAGGCCUACCAAGCCGACGAUCGGUAGCUGGUCUGAGAGGAUGAUCAGCCACACUGGGACUGAGAUACGGCCCAGACUCCUACGGGAGGCAGCAGUGGGGAAUAUUGGACGAAUGGGGGCAACCCUGAUCCAGCAAUGCCGCGUGAGUGAUGAAGG